ensembl:snoRNA
AGCGUCCUGGUGCUUACCACAGGCUGUGUUCUUACAUGGACCGUACAGAAAGAGAAAGCAGAGUAAAUCUACCAAAUACACCUCAGCCCAGGCCCUUUGCCUGGUCUGUACUGUGAAUGGGGGUACAUGG